AUGGCGGCCCUUGGGCCACAAGAGAGGCCCGUGGUCUCUCUGUCUUUCCCUCUCUGUGUCUCUCUCUUUAUCUCUCAGUGUCUCUGUUUCUCUGUCUCUGUGUCUCUUUGUGUUUCUCUCUUUAUCUCUCACUGUCUGUCUCUGUCUUUGUCUCUGUCUUUGUCCCUGUCUCUGUGUCUCUCUGUGUCUGUGUGUGUCUGUGCCUGUGUCUCUCUCUGUCUCUCUGUGUCUCUGUCUCUGUCUCUCUGUCUCUGUGUCUAUGUCUCUAUGUCUCUAUCUCUGUGUCUGUGUGUCUCUAUCUGUCUCUAUCUCUGUGUCUGUCUGUCUCUGUCUGUCUCUGUCUGUCUCUGUCUCUCUCUGUGUCUACCUCUCUCUUGUCUCUGUGUCUGUCUCUCCCUGUCUCUAUGUCUGUCUCUCUCUAUUUCUGUGUCUAUCUCUCUGUCUCUGUGUAUCUCUCUGUCUCUGUCUCUGUUUCUCUCUCUGUGUCUGCCUCUUGUCUCUGUCUCUCUCUCUGUCUUUGUCUCUGUGUCUGUCUCUCUCUGUCUCUGUGUCUGUGUCUCUAUCUCUGUGUCUGUGUGUCUCUGUGUCUUUCUCUCUCUAUCUCUGUGUCUAUCUCUUGUCUCUGUGUCUCUCUCUGUCUCUAUCUCUGUUUUUGUCUCUGUGUCUGUCUCUGUCUCUGUGUCUGUGUCUCUAUCUCUGUGUCUCUGUGUCUCUCUCUAUCUCUGUGUCUAUCUCUCUCUGUCUCUGUGUGUCUUUCUCUCUCUCUGUGUCUGUGUCUCUCUCUGUCUCUGUCUGUCUCUCUGUUCAGGCACACUGGAUCCAGCUCCGCUGAGAGGCCCAGGGCUACACCCAACAGGAUAUGUUCUCUCCCUUCCUGCCCUACGUAAUAGGGUGGUGCCCCCACACUGGGUAAAUAUUGAGUCUUGUUCUGGAAAGCCAGUGACACUUCCUGGUGGUCCUUCUUAUGGUUUUUUUGGAGGCUUUUUUUUCAGGGGGAGGGGGCAAGAUCUGAAAACUGCUCCUUUAUUCCCAAGACAAAGCUACAUUGUGUGGAAGAAAUCAUCCCUAACCUGCGCAAGAAAGGUGAAUGCAGUGAGGAUAUGGUAUCUUUGACUGUCUCUGUGUGCCCUCCUGAUUUUAAACAAGCUUCUCUGCAGGAUCCUCCGCAUUUCAGUUAGAAGAUAAAACAUUUAGGAAGCAUGUUUCCCACAAUCCUUGGCCCUGCAGCCAGGAUCUGUUCAGAGUGUCCACAAAUAAUGGGAGGCCCAUAUUUGUCCUGCUGCCUUCAGGAAUAAACUGUCUUUUGGAGGAAGAAAAAACCCA
rnacentral:lncRNA from 1 species